CCUACGGGCGGCAGCAGUGAGGAAUAUUGGUCAAUGGCCGGAAGCCUGAACCAGCCAAGCCGCGUGAAGGACGAAGGUGCCAAGCAUUGUAAACUUCUUUUGUCAAGGAACAAAAUCCGGCUCGCGAGCCUGACCGCGGGUACUUUAAGAAAAAGCAUCGGCUAACUCCGUGCCAGCAGCCGCGGUAAUCCGGAGGAUGCGAGCGUUAUCCGGGUUUAUUGGGUUUAAAGGGUGCGUAGGCGGGCUGUUAAGUCCGCGGUAAAAGCCCGGGGCUCAACCCCGGCGAGCCGUUGAAACUGGCGGUCUGGAGAGGGCGAGAGGUAGGCGGAAUGCGCAGUGUAGCGGUGAAAUGCUUAGAUAUUGCGCAGAACUCCGAUUGCGAAGGCAGCAUACCGGAGGCGAUCUGACGCUGAGGCACGAAAGCGUGGGUAUCGAACAGGAUUAGAUACCCUGGUAGUC
rnacentral:rRNA from 1 species